AGGUUUUUUUCUGCUUUUAUUCCUGCGUUGAUAGUAGCAGGACUUUACUUCUUUGAUCAUAGUGUUGCUUCUGGGAUGGCACAACAAAAAAAAUUCAAUCUCAAGAAACCUUCUGCAUAUCAUUAUGACAUAUUCUUACUCCGAUUCAUGAACAUUUCAGACUUUGCUUUGUGGACUACUUGGAUUAACACCUUCAAAUGGUGUUCUUCCUCAAGGGUCUGAUGAUCAGAAAAAAUUGGUUGAAAGUGCGAAAGAAACGUAGUGAUAUUGAAAUCUACGAGAAGAUGCAAGCAGCUGUUACUUUUGUGGAAAGAGAAUUAGAGAACUCAAAAAAGAUUGAGGACAAGAUCCUGCAAAUUGGAUAGGCAUCUGUUCCAAAGAACCAGCAUGUUCUGCAGGCUGUGUUGUAUGCUUUAAUUUGGUCAUCUCUACUAAUAAGAUACUUAACAUUUCAAUUUUUGUUUUAAUUGAGACAACAAUUAUUUUUCUCCCGUUAUGCAGUGAGUUAAGAGUUCUUGAUAUAUAAGUAAAUCAAAUUUUUUCUCCCGUAGAUAAAUCAAAUUUUUUCUCCGAAUCUUGAUACAAUGGACAUGACACUGUAAAAUAUAUGAGUAAAUGUAUCAUUUGCCGUUGAUUCAUUUGGUGUUGAGUGUUUGCAGUCUGAAUUUGGAGAUAUUGGAGAUGAGUUCUUCUGCGGGGUGUUGAGUGUUUGCAGUCUGAAUUUGGAGAUAUUGGAGAUGAUGAGUUCUUCUGCGGUGUGAACUACUUAACUUGGUGACAAAGACACUUGCUUAGAUUUUCACACUUUCUCAUUCAUCCUAGGGAUUUUUUUACUUACAUGCUGGUGGUUUCUGUUUUCUAUAAGCUUUUGUGCGUUUCUAUACUAGGAACUGAGUUAUAGUCUGGCUUAACAAACAAGAUUAUGGGAUACUUUUCCCCUUCCAUGUUAAAGAAUUUUUUACAAGAUCUGUUGUUUGUUAUGAUGAUUGGUUGGUUGGGGAGAACUUAACUUUUCUGGAUGGGUUUUCUAUAAUCAUAUGUUAUGAUGUUUUUAUUUGUGAUUUAAGAUGAUUAUGAUACAUACUCCUAAAAAUAUAUCCUCUCUGUUGCAGUGGCCCAAAGACUUAUCUAUUAGGAUGAAACCAAAAUUAUCAUUACAUGAUCCCUCGAGUUGAAUGGAAUUUUGUGGGCUAUGUACUCUCUCUGUUGCUACACUCUAGUUUGGCCAUCUCUACUAAAACUCUUCUCAUUUCAAUCUUUGUUUGAUUUUGAUACGCAACAUCUACUUUUGUCAAAUCCUUAGUCUCUUGUGUUUGGAUGUUACACAGGAGAUAACCUAAGAACGAGAAAUAGUUUCAGAUUUCUUCAUUGAAUAGUGAACCUGUUUUUCUCCUCCUUGGAGCCUUUGGUGGUUGCAGGAGAGGGUAUGGUUUUGAUUUCUUGAUUCCAUAGUUUGCUUGUUCUCGUUCUUGUGCCAUACUUUGUCUCUUUUCUUGAUUACCUGAUGAGUUGGCGAGUUAAUUGCUCUACGAAGGCUUGAUUUCAGGUUUUGUUGUUCUUGAUUUCUUGGACCGGCUGCUAUGAACGAGGUUGUUAGGGAUUUUUGUAUUGAUACCUUUUCUCAGUUAGUAGAUGCCAUUAAUUUCACAUUUCUUGCUGUGCUUUGAUUUCAGUUUUUUUGUUCUUGUUUUCUUGUGUUGAUUGCUGUUCUCAAAGUGUAGGCAUGGAGAUCUUCUUUUGAGGAUCUGCGUUUUUUUUUACUUACAUGCUUGUGUCUAAGUUUUUGCAGUUCUUCGGGCAGUGAAGCUUUUGUGCGUUUCUAUACUAGGAACUGAGUUAUAGUCUGGCUUAACAUACAAGAUUUAUGGGAUUACUUUUCCACUUCCAAGUUGAGGAAUUUUUUAUAAGAUGUUUUGUUUGUUAUGAUGGUUGGUUGGAUGGGGAGAACUUAACUUUUUCUGGAUAGGUUUUCUAUAUUCUUCUGUUAUGAUGUUUUUAUUUGUGAUUUAAGAUGAUUAUGAUACAUACUCCUAAAAAGAUAUCCUCUCUGUUGCAGUGGCCCAAAGACUUUCUAUUAGGAUGAAACCAAAAUUAUCAUUACAUGAUCUCUUGAGUUGGGCGGAAUUUUGUUCCCUAUGAAUCCUCAUACUUUGUGGGCUAUGUACUCUCUCUGUUGCUACACUCUAGUUUGGUGGGCUAUGUACUCUCUCUGCUGCUACACUCUAGUUUGGUCAUCUCUACUAAGUUCUUAGUUAGGUGAAGGAAGUAUGACUGCUUUACCAAUAGUUGAGACCCAAUCCGGAGAUGUUUCAACUUAUAUUCCUACUAAUGUCAUUUCUAUUACAGAUGGUCAAAUAUUCUUAUAUGCCGAUUUAUUCAAUGCUGGGAUCAGACCUGUAAUUAAUGUGGGUAUUUCCGAUUCCAGAGUUGGAUCGGCGGAUCAAAUAAAAGCCAUGAAACAAGUAGCGGGUAAAUUAAAAUUGGAAUUAGCACAAUUCUCAGAAUUAGAAGCUUUUGCUGCACAAUUCUCUUCCAAUCUCGAUUAAGCUACACAAAAUCAAUACUCUUCUCCUUUCGAUCUUUGUUUGAUUUUGAUACGCAACAUCUACUUUUGUCAUGUCCUUAGUCUCUGUGUUUGGAUAUUACACAGGAGAUAACCUAUGGAACCUGAUUAUAUCUGCAGUCAAGGUUCACAUUCUUUCUGUCUAUAGCUUUGGGAAAGAACAUUCUAUUUUUUGGUCACAUAUGGUCUAUUUGUUUUGGUAUUUGGGAUAUUUGUCCUCUAAUGGUGCGUCAUGUUUUAGUUGGAGGCAUACAAGAAACCAUUCCGGAUUUUAGGGAACAUCUCUAUCCCGAGGAUAAGGAAUUUUUUAAUUUUGUUGAUUUGCCAUUUCCUUUGUUAUAAUUUCUUUUUUCUUUUUUCAUUUUUAUUCUUGUCAUAUGUGAUAUAUAAGAUGAAAUUAAAAAUCUUCUCUCCCAUAUGGGUAUCCCUCAGCGAAUCUGCAAUUGGUGCAAGAACUUGGUUGGCAUAAGGGGAGCCUAAUUGAGCACAAGAGUCUGAAAUUGGUUGUUGCUGUACUUUCAUCUGGUGAUCUCUACUAUGACUAUUAUUAGUUUUUCAUGUUUCUUUGUAUAUAUUAAGGUCAUGUUUUCUCGAUUUCUUUGUGAGUUCCAUGUAGGCGUCGUAGACAUUCUGCUUGGUGUUUCAGGGGAGAGAGGUUAUGAAACUAAAAAUCACCUCUCCCAUAUGGGUAUCCUCACAGAAUCUGCAACUGGUGCAAGAACUUGGCAAAAGGGGGGCCUAAAUGACACAAGAGGCUGCAAUUAGUUAUUGUUGUUGUUGUACUUCAUCGGGUGAUCUCUACUAUGACUAUUAAUUUGUCAUGUUUCUUUGUAUAUAUUACGAUUUUAUUUUUUUGGGUUUCUUCAUAAGUUUCUUGUAGACGUCAUAUGGAAUAUUCCUAGAUGAUUGUCGUGAACAUUUUGCUCGAUGAUUGGUUGGAUUGUGCAACAUAAAGCAAUUAGGUUUAUUUUGAUGAACUCUUGGAUUGUGGAUUAUUUUGAAUUCAUUAAUUCUCUGCAUAGUUUUAUUGCCUUAUUCCUUUAUGAUUUUCACUUGGGUGUUACACGUGAGGGAUAGGUUUAUUGAGUACAGUGAGGGGGUGGUUAUAACUUAUAACUAUAAAGCCUUAGAGUUUUCUUACCAUAUAUGUAAUUCUUUUCUCUUACAUUUUGGUUUUCAAACUUUAAUUUGACAGUGCACUUUUUUUCUAAUUCUGGAUAAAUUAGGACAACUUUGGUGGACUCUUUUUGUAACAUCGAUCUACUGAUUAGCGUUGUUUGGAGAAUCAUGCUACUAUUAACUUUUUUUCUUGUGGACCACUAAAUGUCACAGGAAAUAUCAGUGUGAAAUAUUGAUGUACAUGUGUGUGUUAAAAACAAUGGUCUUGGAUAGAAUAUUAUGAUAGAGUUUGAUCUAUGUAGCGGAGACCACGUAGUGAGAAACAAUUAGGUUGUUGUAGUUGUAUGUAUUGCAUGAGUUUGGUGUACCACAGAAGUACCAUUCUUUUCUAGUCUAACUGCACCUAGUCUCACUGCACCAUGUUAAUUUUCCUGUUUGAAGUUAGGGAAAUUGGAGAUGACUGCCUCUAUGCUGUGAACAAAUUAAACUAGAACAUAUUCAUGUUUUCCUGCUGUGAUAUAUAUAUUUAAGGGCUUCUAGUCUUGAUUUAGGGAUUUGAAUUUAGAUAUGAACAUUUCCGUAUGCAUGUUAUCCAUUUGUGUCUAUUGAGAUUAUCAUACUUUCUCAUUCAUCGUUUGGAUAUAAUUUUUUUCUUAUAUGUAUAUGUAUCUGUUCCCGAACUGCUGUUUCUUCACCAAGUUGGUGUUUGAAACUUUUGUGUUUCUUCUAUUGUUGAAGCUUUUCUGUUCCUUCAUCUGGAACCUGAAUACUAUUAUAUGCUUCAUUUUGGAAGAAGUCUGUGCCUUUUCAUAUAGGAUUUUAGACAACUUGGUGAUGCCGUAUGUGUGCUGUUUAUUCUGAUGAUUUGUUCAGGGACAACUUAACUUUGUUGGGAGAGGUUUUUCUAUAUUCUUCUUUUGCUGUUGUGUCUUCAUUGCUAUUUUUGAUUUAUGAUUAUGAUACUCCUAAGAAGACACCCUCUUCCUUACAGUGGCCCAAGGACUUCUUUGUAUUAGGAGGAGGCCGAAACUGUGUCAUUUCAUAUGGGUACAUGUCCUUGCAAAUAGGAUGGUAAAUUUGUUCUUUUGUAGGUUGUGUUGCCUACUCUUUAUUGUUGCUAUGCUUUAAUUUGGUCAUAUCUACCAAGACUCUUUACAUUUCAGUUUUUGUUUUAUUUUGAUACUUAGCCUCUACUUGUCAGAUCUGUUGAGUUUGCAUUUGGAACCCAUGGUAGGCUUAAUAGGUUCACAUACUUUCCAUUCCGCCGAUUUGGGAUAAAACAUGGGAUUUCUUAUCUGCAUAUAACAUAACACAGAAUCUGCAAUUGGCUGCUGUUGUGGUUCAUCUGGUCUCUACUUUACCAUAAAUUCUUUACGUCUUCAUGAUUUCUUUAUUCAAGGUCUAGUUUACUUGUUUUCUUCAUGAGUUCCUUGUGGGUGUCAUGGGAGGAUAUAUAUUGUGGAAGCUGUGAUAGAUUUAUCAAGGACAUUUUGCUUUAUGUUUUACAGGCGAGAGAAGCUAUGAAUGUACUGUGGUAUUUAAAGUUGUGGUCGACAUUAUGAAGGAGAUGCGUUAGCUUAAGCCAUGAAGCUAUGAAUGUACCGUGGUAUUUAAAAGUUGUGGUCGACAUUAUGAAGGAUAUGCUUUAGUUUAAGCCUUUGGAUUAAUGAGUCAUUUUCUCUCUCUUGAAUGUACUUGUUUUGGGGUGUUCUAUGAUGUACAAUCUGGCAGGAUUGAUUUUUGUGUUAAGAAUUAUGAGUUUAUGAUUUAGGAGAAUUUUAGUAUUUAUGGUUAUAUAUUAUAUAUGUCCACCUCUUUCUUGGAUAAAUGAGACAUGCGUCUGUUUUGCAGAUGGAAAUUUGAAUGUCUAGAAUGUUUGGAGAUACCUGAUGCAAUGGAGAAGAGAGGAGAGAGAAGAAAGGAGAGUUUGUAUAAAUCAAAUAUAUUCAAGGAUUCAUCCUUCACUAUUUUUAUUUUUGGAUUCUAUUUGUAAGACAUGAGUUGAUUCGGGAACUUACUUUUCUGCAGUGUGGUUUGGCAAAAUAUUGUCAUUUGUCACAGAGCCUCAGUUUUUAUUUAGCGAUCUCUAGUAAAUUCUUAUACUUCAAGUAUUCUUUAAAUCCUAAAAGGCAUAUAUUUGUUGAUUUGUUACUCUUGCUUUUUUUUGGUGCGGCUGAUGAAAACAUGAUUCCUUUUAGUUCUAUCACUCUCUUAUUUGUUAUUCAAGUUCUUGUAUUCUCAAGUCUUUUUUUUCCUUUGUGUUGCAGAUGAACACACAUCCUUCUAGUUCUCUCCCUCCUAUUUGGUAUUCAAGUUCUUGUAUUCUCAAUCUUUUUCCCUUGGAUGCUUUGUUUCUUGAUAUUGCUGUUUUAUUUGGUUCUUGGUAUAUGUAUUGGAGUUUGCUGUUUUUAUAUUAAUGAUCCACCACUAUUGAUGAGAUGUUUGAAUUUUUAUUGAUUGUUCUUCCAAUCAUCUUUGAUUUAAUGCAUAAACAUCUCAUCAAUAGUGGCGGAUGUAGUCACUAGAGCAGAAUGUUAUAUAAAUGGCAAGUAAAACAACGUUGAGAAGAAGGCGCGAGACGUCAAGGAGCGCGUUCCCAACGCCGAAGGUUCACACCUCUAGAGCAAGACUGCGUUCAAAAGAUUAGGCAAGACGGCAGAGAAUUUUAUGCCCCUAAAGAUUAGGCAAGACGGCAGAGAAUUUUAUGCCCCUGAACACCCGCCGUGAUGUGAGGUUCUUCACCCUACGCCGUCCUCUGAAGGUAGAUGGUGCAAGUUCUAUAGAGUUAAGGGACAACACAUUGAGGAUUGUUACCAACUUAAGAAAGAAAUUGAGAGGCUGAUUUUGAAGGAACACCUUAAGAAAUAUGUGAAGGGCAACUCUUCCCGUGACGCCGGAAGCCCCUGGCCCAACAAAGUUAUUCUUACCUAUCUUCAGCCCCCUUUAGCAGUAGCAAUGUUGGACAAAGAAAAGUAAAUAUGUUUCGUGCUUGUUACAAGUCUGAGGAUAAUGACAUUGCAUUUCUUGUGUAACAUGGAUCACGUGAGCAAUAUUUUCUUUUGUUUAUAGCUUCAGUUACAAUGCUAUUUAUAUGUUCGUGUUUAUCUUUGACACUAUUCAAUAGGUACAUUUAUUUCAUCAUAUUCAAUUGAUUAUCACUCUAGGGUGUUUGGUUACUUGAAUAGAAACCAUGUGUUAAGUUGAUCA